rnacentral:tRNA from 1 species
UCCUUUGUAGUUUAAAAAAAAUUUUAAUUUUGUAAAUUAAAGAUGUACUACCAGGGGAU